CUCGGCUCGGCCUGGGCGCACCUUUUCUCCCUCCUGCCACAAUGUGAGCGCUCAGCCGAGCAGAUAACCGCCGGCUGCCUGCUCCACCCCCGGCCCUUGCCCACUCCGCCCACUCCCGAGCGCCCAGAGGAUGCUGACUGCAGGGAUGGAGGAAAUUUUCCACUGCAGAAGAACAAUGUGGUGCCUAUGGGAACAUGCCAUGUGACCAUUCUCCAUUCCUCCCAGCAAGGCAUGCCGGGUGAUGUGAAGAACCCAGGAAGGAAAGCUGGAGGAGAGCAUGGUGGGUGGCAGAGCGGGAUUUGGGGAAGCCCUGAGCCCUGCUCCAUCUGACCCUCAGUACAUCUGUCUCCGUCACUGUCUACCUGCCCUGCUCACGCGUGCCCCUCACUCACCCCAUGGCAACAGGCCUCUCUUUCCCCCAACAUCAAAAGAGCUAUUUCAGUGACUGUCGCUGUACCUGGCCCAUAGCCUCUAGUCUAUAUAUGUCUGUCAAAUGAAUUGGCUAUAAACAUGAAAAGGUUUCUCCUAAAAAGGUU
rnacentral:lncRNA from 1 species